GGAAGUGUGGCAGAGAGGUCUAAUGCAGUGGAUUGCUAAUCCGCCGAUGUCUUUAUAGGCAUCCGUUGGUUCGAAUCCAACCACUUCCG
rnacentral:tRNA from 1 species